rnacentral:tRNA from 1 species
UCUAAAAUGGCAGAAUAAUGCCUAAGAUUUAGGAUCUUAUCAUGGAUAGUAAUAUCCUUUUAGAA